GGCAGGACUGUGGUCGGCCACCCGACAGAGGACAAGGCUCCACAGGAGAAGAUGGAGGAGCUGACCCAGGCUGUUCAGGAACUAGCCACAGAGCUGCACAGGUUGCACCAGAACAUGGAGAAGAUCACCGAGUACCAGGCCUCACUGCUCCGAGUCAAUAAGCUCAUGUGUUUCUGGAUGGAGAAUACCCAGGAGUUGAUAAAGCAUCGCAGACAGAUGAGUCAGCCUCCAGGAUCCACCCUGAAGGUGCUGAGGAAAUGACAUUUGUUGUUCUCUUUGAAAUACCCAGCCCGCUCCUGGCUGUGUGUCCGAGUGUAGGCCCGUUGUGCUUGAAGAUAAGGGCUGUGUAAAUGCUCACACUGGUCACUUUCCCAUUUGCAGCCCUUGUGAAGGGAAUGUUUCUCACUUGAGUCUGUGAGCGGAAGCCGACCUCUGAGUCUUGUGCCAUGCCAUUAUGUGCCUCUUCUCCUUUCAUUGUUGAGUGUGUGCCGCACUAUCCUCCCUGAGGGGGCAGGGGAGUGUGGGAUUUAAAGCAAAACCGAAAUGGCAGACCUUCCAAAUGCAGUUUCACUUGUUGUACUUACAUACAUGUUAAUUUAUUUCAAAAACAAAUUAUGCUGAUGGAUAAAUAAACUACACUUUGGUACCCAA